UAUGACUCUCGGCAACGGAUAUCUCGGCUCUCGCAUCGAUGAAGAACGUAGCGAAAUGCGAUACGUGGUGUGAAUUGCAGAAUCCCGUGAACCAUCUAGUCUUUGAACGCAAGUUGCGCCCGAGGGACCCUCCCUAGGGCACGCCUGCCUCAUGGGU
rnacentral:rRNA from 1 species